CCCUUAGAUGUUCUGGGCCGCACGCGCGCUACACUGAUUCAUGCAACAAGUUUUGUCCUUGGCUGAUAGGCCUGGGUAAUCUUUGAACGUGAAUCGUGAUGGGGAUAGAUGAUUGCAAUUAUUCAUCUUCAACGAGGAAUUCCUAGUAAACGCAAGUCAUCAGCUUGCAUUGAUUACGUCCCUGCCCUUUGUACACACCGCCCGUCGCACCUACCGAUUGAAUGGUCCGGUGAAAUCUUCGGAUCUGAGAGAUGUCUGAUUAAUUUCGGACGCCUUUUGGAAAAGUUGCUUAAACCUUACCAUUUAGCGGAAGGUGAAGUCGUAACA
rnacentral:rRNA from 1 species